rnacentral:rRNA from 1 species
CAGUCGAGAAUCUUCGGCAAUGGGCGCAAGCCUGACCGAGCGACGCCGCGUGCGGGAUGAAGGCCUUCGGGUUGUAAACCGCUGUCAGAGGGGAUGAAAUGCAGGUGGGUUCUCCCAUCUGUUUGACAUAGCCUCAGAGGAAGGACGGGCUAAGUUCGUGCCAGCAGCCGCGGUAAGACGAACCGUCCAAACGUUAUUCGGAAUUACUGGGCUUAAAGGGUGCGUAGGCGGCGCGGAAAGUUGGGUGUGAAAUCCCUCGGCUCAACCGAGGAACUGCGCUCAAUACUACCGUGCUCGAGGGAGAUAGAGGUGAGCGGAACUUAGGGUGGAGCGGUGAAAUGCGUUGAUAUCCUAAGGAACACCGGUGGCGAAAGCGGCUCACUGGAUCUCUUCUGACGCUGAGGCACGAAAGCUAGGGUAGCGAACGGGAUUAGA